AUUGAACGCUGGCGGCAGGCCUAACACAUGCAAGUCGAGCGGCGAGGGGGACGGGUGCGUAAUGCCUAGGACUGUGCCUGGUCGUGGGGGAUGAGGUCCGGAACUGGGCGCUGAUACCGAAUCCUAUCGGCUUCGCCUAGGUCGGAGUAGGUAGUGGGUGGGGUAAAGGCAUAGCAAGGCGACGAGCCGUACCUGGUCGGAGAGGAUGAUCAGUAACACUGGAACUGGGACACGGUCCAGACUCCUACGGGAGGCAGCAGUGGGGAAUAUUGGACAAUGGGCGAAAGCCUGAUCCAGCCAUGCCGCGUGUAUGAAGAAGGUCUUCGGAUUGUAAAGUACUUUAAGUGGGGAGGCGUUACCUACAGAAUAAGCACCGGCUAACUCCGUGCCAGCAGCCGCGGUAAUAC
rnacentral:rRNA from 1 species